rnacentral:rRNA from 1 species
AUAGUGUCUUCUGCUCAAUGUAAAUAGCCGCAGUACUCUGACUGUGCAAAGGUAGCAUAAUCAUUUGGCUUAUAAUUGAAGUCUAGAAUCAAUGAAUAAUGAAAUAUACUUUAUCGAAUUUCAUAUUAACUUAGUAAUGAAGUGAAAAUACUUCAAUAAAUAUAAGACGAGAAGACCCUAAAAAUUUUUAUUUUUGUUGGGGCAACAAUGUAAUACAUAUUUGAAUUAAUUGAAGUAAAUUAAAUUACUUUAGGGAUAACAGCAUAAUUAUUUUUGUUUGUGACCUCGAUGUUGGAUUAGGAAUAAUUAGAG